UCAGGCGGCGGCGCGGUCGCCAAGCAGUGACGUUCGGAAGCCGCGUGAGGUGGGGGCGUCAGGAUGGCGGGCAGCGGCCGCCGGCCCGAGCACCGCGGGCCUCCCGAGCUGUUCUACGAUGAGGCUGAGGCGCGGAAGUAUACACAGAACUCCCGGGUGGUGGAGAUCCAGUCGCAGAUGUCGGAGCGCGCUGUGGAGUUGCUGGGGCUGCCCGAGGACCGUCCGUGCCUCCUCCUGGACGUGGGCUGCGGCUCAGGGCUGAGCGGGGAUUACAUCUCUGAGGAGGGUCACUACUGGAUUGGCAUGGACAUCAGCCCUGCCAUGCUGGAUGUGGCUGUGGAGAGGGAGGUGGAAGGAGACCUUCUCCUUGCAGAUGUGGGUCAUGGCAUUCCCUUCAGGCCUGGCACAUUUGAUGGGUGUAUCAGUAUUUCCGCAGUGCAGUGGCUCUGUAAUGCUGACAAGAAAUCACACAGCCCCCCAAAACGCCUCUACAGAUUCUUCUCCACUCUUUACACUGCCCUGGCCCGAGGAUCCCGAGCUGUGCUGCAGUUGUACCCCGAGAACGCGGAGCAGCUAGAGCUCAUCACAGCCCAAGCCAUGAGAGCUGGAUUUACAGGGGGAAUGGUGGUUGAUUACCCCAACAGCGCCAAAGCCAAGAAGUUCUUCCUCUGUCUCUUUGUUGGGACAUCAGGCACGUUACCAAAGGGCCUUGGUACCGAGUGUGCCAAUGAAGAGCCGCACCAGGCAAAGUUCACCAAUGAGAGGACACGAUUCAGAAAUGUCAAGGGCAAGUCUGUAAAGAAAAGCCGGGACUGGAUCCUGGAGAAGAAGGAGCGUAGAAGACGCCAGGGCAAGGAGGUGCGAGCAGAUACAAAAUACACGGGUCGGAAGCGCCGUCCUCACUUCUGAAUUGCUCUGGACACUGCUGGCAUGGAAGGUGGCAUGUGAGUGCCUCCAGCGAACCCUCCUGUGGAUGGCACCCCAUGCCUGGGCACUUGCUGGGACUGGUCAUUGUGGCUCUUGAAGGUGCAAACUGGCUCAGGUGCUGCCAAACAGCAAAGCUUCCGGUCCUGUUUCCCUGGUGAAGGUGCAGACAGUGCUCUGGCCGCUUGGGUGUCUGCAGUGCCAUCCCUUGCCUUACCUUCCCGAGUGCAGUGAGCCAGCUGAGCUCCAGCUUAGUUCAUCCAUGAAGAAGAGCACCCUGAGGAAGGACAAAUACACACAGGAAUCAGGAUUUCCCAUGAGCUUCUUUGAAUUAAAAAUUAGCUGCAAACACAGAAGAAAUUCCUCUCCUUCUGAUGCCUGCUCUUUCUCUGCAGCGUUUUGGGAUGUACUUUGCUGGGCGUACUUUGCCACUGAAACUCAAGGUACCACCCCAUGCCCAUCUCCCACAGAAGCUGUGUUCCAGCCACUCCCAUAGGCUCUUGUGCAUCCCAGGUUUGCCCAGCUGUGGGAGUGGCUCUGAUCCACUGGGAGCCAGUGCAGGAUGUGGCCCCAUGGCACACACACCCCAGCUGUGUUCCCACUCCAGGUUUACUCACUGAU